UUAUUUUCAGAUCUCUUAUAUCUUAUAUCAAGCAACCCAAUAUCACGUUUUGAUCGUUAGUACUUCACCUCUACCCGGGGUGUGUGAUGUACUUCGUUGGCCCUAGUAGUUUCUAUGAUAGGGCCGAUCAGAAUCGGGCAACAAUGGUCGUGGGACAUUAGUUUUCCACAGUAGGGAAAAUUGGGUCACUUAUCGAUGUUAGACAAUAAAGGAGAUAGCGGCAUUCCUUGGAUUUUUUUUAUACAAGGUACCAUUAUUCUAGGACGUCUUUAUCGAAGUUAUGCAUUGUAAUAUAUGUAUUGAUAUUUUAAAGUAAUUCUACUUAUAGGGAAAUAGGGGUGAAUCGAGCCACUUAUCAAUGUUUGGCAAUAAAGGGGAUACCGGCAUUCAAUUCUUUGAACAUUUUUGCAUAAGGUAGCAUCAUUUUUUAAUGUCUUUAUCAAAAUUGUGCUUUGUUUCAAA